GAAAUGCAAUUUAGAGGACCCUUCAUGAAUCAAGACCAUCUUACAUUCAUUCAUUAUCAUAAAAGGCCCAAAAUGUUGCGAAUUUCAAUUCCUAAACAUGACAUUAGCAUAAAAACGUCGGAUUUUGAAUUAUAUUCUAAAGAAAGUGGAAGCUAUACCGUCUCUCGAAGGCUCGGUUACAAAGCAUUUCACUUACAGCGGCCAUAUUGGAAAAAAAUAAUUUUUUGUUGUUUUGUGUAAAAUAUUGGCCAAAUUUAACACGAAAGACGUACAAUGUCGGCGUCAAGAUUCCUUCUUCGCACCGGUUUAUUGUCCAAGUUUGCUCGACGUGCGUUUGCAACCGAGGUGGCUAUAUCUCCUGUCCCAAAACUCGAACAUUACAGCCCAGUGGAAAUGGAAAGAAAUGAUAUCGCAGAGGCUCUUGUGGAAAAAGCCAAGAAGCCAUGGACUGAGCUUAGUAAAGAAGAUAAAAUAGCAAGUAAGUUUGAAGUAUACCGUGUGAUAGGGUGUCUUUAAAGAGUUUAUACAAAAACCAUGUGGUAUUAAUGUACGAGUCAAAUCCAACCGCGAUUAGGGCUCCCCCGGGG